UACGAAGGGGGGCUAGCGUGCUCGGAAUCACUGGGCGUAAAGGGCGCGUAGGCGGCGUUUUUAAGUCGGGGGUGAAAGCCUGUGGCUCAACCACAGAAUGGCCUUUGAUACUGUUUGGCUUGAGACCGGAAGAGGUAAGUGGAACUGCGAGUGUAGAGGUGAAAUUCGUAGAUAUUCGCAAGAACACCAGUGGCGAAGGCGGCUUACUGGUCCGGUUCUGACGCUGAGGCGCGAAAGCGUGGGGGAGCAAACAGGG
rnacentral:rRNA from 1 species